rnacentral:lncRNA from 1 species
AUCGGGGGAAAAAGGGGAAAAAAACCAGGAAAAAAUGGGGACAAACGGGGGAAAAAUGGAGAAAAAAUUAGGGAAAAAAACGGGGAAAAAGUUGGGGGAGAAAUGGGAAAAAAUCAGGGGAAAAAAGGGAAAAAACGGGGGAGAAAUGGGAAAAAAAAUGGGGGAGAAAUGGGAAAAACGGGGAAAACGGGAAAAAAAUGGGGAAAAAAUGGGGGGAAAAAACGGGAGAAAUGGGAAAAAGACGGGGAAAAUUCGGGAAAAAAUCGGGGGAGAAAUGGGGGAAAAAUGGGAAAAAAAUGGGAGAAAAAUGGGGAAAAAUUGUGGAAAAAAUCAGGGAAAAAUGGGAAAAAAUGGGGGAAAAGUUGGGAAUAAAGGGGGGAAAACCUGGGAAAAACCAGGGAAAAUUGAGGGAUAAAUCCAGGGAAAAGUGGGGAAAAUUGAGGGAAAAAUGGGGAAUUCUGGGGUUGGAAAAUGGGGAAUUCUGGGGUUGGAAAAUGGGGAAUUCUGGGUUUGGGAUUGGGGAAAAUGUGGAAUUCCCGGGAAAACGUGGAAUUCUGGGUUUGGGAAAAUGGGGAAUUCUGGGGUUGGGAUUUGGGGAAUUCUGGGUUUGGGAAUUCUGGGGUUGGGAUUUGGGAAAAUGGGGAAUUCUGGGUUUGGGAUUUUGGGAAUUCUGGGUUUGGGAAUUCUGGGUUUGGGAAUUCUGGGUUUGGGAAUUCUGGGUUUGGGAUUUUGGGGAAUUCUGGGUUUGGGAUUUUGGGGAAUUCUGGGUUUGGGAAUUCUGGGGUUGGGAAUUCUGGGGUUGGGAUUUUGGGAAAACGUGGAAUUCCCGGGAAUCCCCAGGUGUGGUGACCCCGGAGAUGUUCCGGGAGCUGGAGAAUUCCGAGAUCGCCCGGCGGCUCCUGCAGAGCUUCGAGGAGGUACCGGGGCCCGGAAUUCCCGGAAUUCCCGGAAUUCCUGGGAACCCCCGGGGCUUUUCCCGGGAUUUCCCUGGAAUUCUCCCCAUUCCCCCCAGAAUUCGGGGGUUUUUCAUGGAAUUCUCCCCAUUCCCCCCAAAAUCGGAGCCUUCCCUUCGGAAUUCCGCGGAUUUUCCCCCGGAAUUCCCCCGUUCCUCCUCCCCAGGAUUUCUCCCCGUUUUCCCAGGAUUUCCCAGGAUUUUCCCAGGAUUUCUCCCCGUUUUCCCAGGAUUUCCCAGCAUUGAUUUCCCAGGAUUUCUCCCGUUUUCCUGGGAUUGUCUGUGAUUAUCCUGGGAUUUCUCCCCAUUUUCCUGGGAUUGCUCCCCGUUUUCCCGUGUUUUCCCAUGAUUUUUCCCACGAUUUCCCAGGAUUUCUCCCUGUUUUCCCGGGAUUUCUCCCCAUUUUCCCCCCGUUUCCCCCCAGGACUCGCCGUUUUCCGGGGAUUUCUCCCCAUUUUCCCGGGAUUUUCCGUGAUUUCCCCUUGUUUCCCCCCAGGACUCGCCGUUUUCCCGGGAUUUCUCCCCAUUUUUCCAUGAUUUCCCCGCAGGACUCGCCGUUCUCCCGGGAUUUCUCCCCAUUUCCCCCCGUUUCCCCCCAGGACUCGCCGUUUUCCGGGGAUUUCUCCCCAUUUUCCCAGGAUUUUCCAUGAUUUCUCCCCGUUUUCCCCCCAGGACUCCCCGUUUUCCCGGGAUUUCUCCCCGUUUUCCCGGGAUUUUCCAUGAUUUCCCCUUGUUUUCCCCCCAGGACUCCCCGUUUUCCCGGGAUUUUCCAUGAUUUCUCCCUGUUUCCCCCCAGGACUCGCCGUUUUCCCGGGAUUUCUCCCUGUUUUCCCGGGAUUUUCCAUGAUUUCUCCCCGUUUCCCCCCAGGACUCGCCGUUUUCCCGGGAUUUUCCAUGAUUUCUCCCCGUUUUCCCCGCAGGACUCGCCGUUUUCCCGGGAUUUUCCAUGAUUUCCCCCCGUUUUCCCCGCAGGACUCGCCGUUUUCCGGGGAUUUUCCAUUAUUUUCCCCCGUUUCCCCCCCAGGACUCGCCGUUUUCCGGGGAUUUCUCGCCGUUUUCCGGGGAUUUCUCCCCAUUUCCCCCCGUUUCCCCGCAGGACUCGCCGUUUUCCGGGGAUUUCUCCCUGUUUUCCCGGGAUUUCUCCCCAUUUCCCCUUGUUUCCCCCCCAGGACUCGCCGUUUUCCGGGGAUUCCGGCCGCUGGCGCCGUUUCCGG